rnacentral:rRNA from 1 species
GGUUAAGCGACUAAGCGUACACGGUGGAUGCCCUGGCAGUCAGAGGCGAUGAAGGACGUGCUAAUCUGCGAUAAGCGUCGGUAAGGUGAUAUGAACCGUUAUAACCGGCGAUUUCCGAAUGGGGAAACCCAGUGUGAUUCGUCACACUAUCAUUAACUGAAUCCAUAGGUUAAUGAGGCGAACCGGGGGAACUGAAACAUCUAAGUACCCCGAGGAAAAGAAAUCAACCGAGAUUCCCCCAGUAGCGGCGAGCGAACGGGGAGCAGCCCAGAGCCUGAAUCAGUGUGUGUGUUAGUGGAAGCGUCUGGAAAGGCGUGCGAUACAGGGUGACAGCCCCGUACACAAAAAUGCACAUGCUGUGAGCUCGAUGAGUAGGGCGGGACACGUGGUAUCCUGUCUGAAUAUGGGGGGACCAUCCUCCAAGGCUAAAUACUCCUGACUGACCGAUAGUGAACCAGUACCGUGAGGGAAAGGCGAAAAGAACCCCGGCGAGGGGAGUGAAAAAGAACCUGAAACCGUGUACGUACAAGCAGUGGGAGCACGCUUAGGCGUGUGACUGCGUACCUUUUGUAUAAUGGGUCAGCGACUUAUAUUCUGUAGCAAGGUUAACCGAAUAGGGGAGCCGAAGGGAAACCGAGUCUUAACUGGGCGUUAAGUUGCAGGGUAUAGACCCGAAACCCGGUGAUCUAGCCAUGGGCAGGUUGAAGGUUGGGUAACACUAACUGGAGGACCGAACCGACUAAUGUUGAAAAAUUAGCGGAUGACUUGUGGCUGGGGGUGAAAGGCCAAUCAAACCGGGAGAUAGCUGGUUCUCCCCGAAAGCUAUUUAGGUAGCGCCUCGUGAAUUCAUCUCCGGGGGUAGAGCACUGUUUCGGCAAGGGGGUCAUCCCGACUUACCAACCCGAUGCAAACUGCGAAUACCGGAGAAUGUUAUCACGGGAGACACACGGCGGGUGCUAACGUCCGUCGUGAAGAGGGAAACAACCCAGACCGCCAGCUAAGGUCCCAAAGUCAUGGUUAAGUGGGAAACGAUGUGGGAAGGCCCAGACAGCCAGGAUGUUGGCUUAGAAGCAGCCAUCAUUUAAAGAAAGCGUAAUAGCUCACUGGUCGAGUCGGCCUGCGCGGAAGAUGUAACGGGGCUAAACCAUGCACCGAAGCUGCGGCAGCGACACUAUGUGUUGUUGGGUAGGGGAGCGUUCUGUAAGCCUGCGAAGGUGUGCUGUGAGGCAUGCUGGAGGUAUCAGAAGUGCGAAUGCUGACAUAAGUAACGAUAAAGCGGGUGAAAAGCCCGCUCGCCGGAAGACCAAGGGUUCCUGUCCAACGUUAAUCGGGGCAGGGUGAGUCGACCCCUAAGGCGAGGCCGAAAGGCGUAGUCGAUGGGAAACAGGUUAAUAUUCCUGUACUUGGUGUUACUGCGAAGGGGGGACGGAGAAGGCUAUGUUGGCCGGGCGACGGUUGUCCCGGUUUAAGCGUGUAGGCUGGUUUUCCAGGCAAAUCCGGAAAAUCAAGGCUGAGGCGUGAUGACGAGGCACUACGGUGCUGAAGCAACAAAUGCCCUGCUUCCAGGAAAAGCCUCUAAGCAUCAGGUAACAUCAAAUCGUACCCCAAACCGACACAGGUGGUCAGGUAGAGAAUACCAAGGCGCUUGAGAGAACUCGGGUGAAGGAACUAGGCAAAAUGGUGCCGUAACUUCGGGAGAAGGCACGCUGAUAUGUAGGUGAAGUCCCUCGCGGAUGGAGCUGAAAUCAGUCGAAGAUACCAGCUGGCUGCAACUGUUUAUUAAAAACACAGCACUGUGCAAACACGAAAGUGGACGUAUACGGUGUGACGCCUGCCCGGUGCCGGAAGGUUAAUUGAUGGGGUCAGCGCAAGCGAAGCUCUUGAUCGAAGCCCCGGUAAACGGCGGCCGUAACUAUAACGGUCCUAAGGUAGCGAAAUUCCUUGUCGGGUAAGUUCCGACCUGCACGAAUGGCGUAAUGAUGGCCAGGCUGUCUCCACCCGAGACUCAGUGAAAUUGAACUCGCUGUGAAGAUGCAGUGUACCCGCGGCAAGACGGAAAGACCCCGUGAACCUUUACUAUAGCUUGACACUGAACAUUGAGCCUUGAUGUGUAGGAUAGGUGGGAGGCUUUGAAGUGUGGACGCCAGUCUGCAUGGAGCCGACCUUGAAAUACCACCCUUUAAUGUUUGAUGUUCUAACGUUGACCCGUAAUCCGGGUUGCGGACAGUGUCUGGUGGGUAGUUUGACUGGGGCGGUCUCCUCCUAAAGAGUAACGGAGGAGCACGAAGGUUGGCUAAUCCUGGUCGGACAUCAGGAGGUUAGUGCAAUGGCAUAAGCCAGCUUGACUGCGAGCGUGACGGCGCGAGCAGGUGCGAAAGCAGGUCAUAGUGAUCCGGUGGUUCUGAAUGGAAGGGCCAUCGCUCAACGGAUAAAAGGUACUCCGGGGAUAACAGGCUGAUACCGCCCAAGAGUUCAUAUCGACGGCGGUGUUUGGCACCUCGAUGUCGGCUCAUCACAUCCUGGGGCUGAAGUAGGUCCCAAGGGUAUGGCUGUUCGCCAUUUAAAGUGGUACGCGAGCUGGGUUUAGAACGUCGUGAGACAGUUCGGUCCCUAUCUGCCGUGGGCGCUGGAGAACUGAGGGGGGCUGCUCCUAGUACGAGAGGACCGGAGUGGACGCAUCACUGGUGUUCGGGUUGUCAUGCCAAUGGCACUGCCCGGUAGCUAAAUGCGGAAGAGAUAAGUGCUGAAAGCAUCUAAGCACGAAACUUGCCCCGAGAUGAGUUCUCCCUGACUCCUUGAGAGUCCUGAAGGAACGUUGAAGACGACGACGUUGAUAGGCCGGGUGUGUAAGCGCAGCGAUGCGUUGAGCUAACCGGUACUAAUGAACCGUGAGGCUUAACCUU